AGAGUUUGAUCCUGGCUCAGAUUGAACGCUGGCGGCAGGCCUAACACAUGCAAGUCGAGCGGAUGAGGGGUGCUUGCACUCUGAUUCAGCGGCGGACGGGUGAGUAAUGCCUAGGAAUCUGCCCGAUAGUGGGGGACAACGUUUCGAAAGGAACGCUAAUACCGCAUACGUCCUACGGGAGAAAGUGGGGGAUCUUCGGACCUCACGCUAUCGGAUGAGCCUAGGUCGGAUUAGCUAGUUGGUGAGGUAAUGGCUCACCAAGGCGACGAUCCGUAACUGGUCUGAGAGGAUGAUCAGUCACACUGGAACUGAGACACGGUCCAGACUCCUACGGGAGGCAGCAGUGGGGAAUAUUGGACAAUGGGCGAAAGCCUGAUCCAGCCAUGCCGCGUGUGUGAAGAAGGUCUUCGGAUUGUAAAGCACUUUAAGUUGGGAGGAAGGGCUGUCGGCUAAUACCCUGCAGUUUUGACGUUACCAACAGAAUAAGCACCGGCUAACUUCGUGCCAGCAGCCGCGGUAAUACGAAGGGUGCAAGCGUUAAUCGGAAUUACUGGGCGUAAAGCGCGCGUAGGUGGUUCAGCAAGUUGGAUGUGAAAGCCCCGGGCUCAACCUGGGAACUGCAUCCAAAACUACUGAGCUAGAGUACGGUAGAGGGUGGUGGAAUUUUCCUGUGUAACGGUGAAAUGCUUAGAUAAUAGGAAGGAACACCAGUGGUAAAGGUCGACCACCUGGACUGAUCUGACACUGA
rnacentral:rRNA from 1 species